UUUGGUUUCUCUUGGAACAUAGGCAAUGGCAAAAAAACUAGAUUUUGGGAGGACCACUGGUUUGGUUCUGCUCCUCUAGCUACUCAAUAUUGGGAGCUUUAUUCUCUUACUACUGAGCAAAAUCUAACUGUUGGUACAGUUUGGGAUGGCACUGACUUGAAAAUUACCUUUAGGAGAUGCUUCCCUGGAGGAAGACACUUUAGUCUGGAACAUCAAUUCUAG
rnacentral:rRNA from 1 species